CAAUAGCGUAUAUUAAAGUUGUUGCAGUUAAAAAGCUCGUAGUUGGACCUUGGACCUGGACAGGCGGUCCGCCUCACGGCGAGUACUGUCUUGCUGGGUCUUUCCUCUUGGUGAUCUGUUGUUUCGGCAGCAGGGAACCAGGACCCUUACUUUGAAAAAAUUAGAGUGUUCAAAGCAGGCUCGACGCCGGAAUAUAUUAGCAUGGAAUAAUAAAAUAGGACGUGCGGUUCUAUUUUGUUGGUUUUUGGAAUCGCCGUAAUGAUUAAUAGGGACAGUCGGGGGCAUUAGUACUCACAUGCUAGAGGUGAAAUUCUUGGAUUUUGUGAAGACUAACUUCUGCGAAAGCAUUUGCCAAGGAUGUUUUCAUUA
rnacentral:rRNA from 1 species